rnacentral:ribozyme from 1 species
AGCAGAUGCAUUUCUGCAGUCACUCUUCAACUCCGAGCCUUUCCGCGAUGCGUGUGGAGGUG